rnacentral:rRNA from 1 species
AUACGGAGGGUGCGAGCGUUAAUCGGAAUUACUGGGCGUAAAGCGCGCGUAGGCGGUUUGUUAAGUCGGAUGUGAAAUCCCCGGGCUCAACCUGGGACCUGCAUCCGAUACUGGCAGGCUAGAGUCUGGUAGAGGGGGGUAGAAUUCCUGGUGUAGCGGUGAAAUGCGUAGAUAUCAGGAGGAAUACCAGUGGCGAAGGCGGCCCCCUGGACUGAGACUGACGCUGAGGUGCGAAAGCGUGGGGAGCAAACAGGAUUAGAAACCCGGGUAGUCC